GACGAACGCUGGCGGCGUGCCUAAUACAUGCAAGUAGAACGCAGUUGCGAACGGGUGAGUAACGCGUAGGGACCUGCCUCAUAGCGGGGGAUAAACAUUGGAAACGAUAGCUAAUAACGCAUACUGUGAGAUGGACCUGCGUUGUAUUAGCUAGUUGGUGGGGUAAAGGCUCACCAAGGCGACGAUACAUAGCCGACCUGAGAGGUGGAUAGGCCACACGGGGACUGAGACACGGCCCAUACUCCUACGGGAGGCAGCAGUGGGGAAUCUUCGGCAAUGGACGAAAGUCUGACCGAGCAACGCCGCGUGAGUGAAGAAGGUUUUCGGAUCGGAAACCUCUGUUGUUAGAGAAGCGGUAUCUAACCAGAAAGCCACGGCUAACUACGUGCCAGCAGCCGCGGUAAUAC
rnacentral:rRNA from 1 species